rnacentral:rRNA from 1 species
CAAUAGCGUAUAUUAAAGUUGUUGCAGUUAAAAAGCUCGUAGUUGGAUUUCUGGCCAUCGCGACCGGUCCGCGUCUUUUGGGCGUGUGUACUUGAGCGCUUUGGCCAUUCUCGUGGGGAACCGUCUGGGGUGAGAGCCUCGGGCGAGGAUCCGCGUCAUUUACUGUGAAAAAAUUAGAGUGUUUAAAGCAGGCAUUUGCUUGAAUACAUUAGCAUGGAAUAAUAAGAUAGGACUUUGGCCUAUUUUGUUGGUUUGCAAGCCGAAGUAAUGAUUAAUAGGGAUAGUUGGGGGUAUUCGUAUUUCAUUGUCAGAGGUGAAAUUCUUGGAUUCAUGAAAGACGAACAACUGCGAAAGCAUUUACCAAGGAUGUUUUCAUUAA